UGAGGAAUUUUCCACAAUGGGCGAAAGCCUGAUGGAGCAAUACCGCGUGAAGGAUGACGGUCCUCGGAUUGUAAACUUCUUUUAUAUGUGAAGAUUAUGACGGUAUCAUAUGAAUAAGCAUCGGCUAACUACGUGCCAGCAGCCGCGGUAAUACGUAGGAUGCAAGCGUUAUCCGGAAUUAUUGGGCAUAAAGAGUUUGUAGGUGGCAUGUUAAGUUGAAUGUUAAAUCUCAGGGCUCAACUCUGGGGCUGCAUUCAAUACUGGCAAGCUCGAGGUAUGGAGAGGUAAGCGGAAUUAGUAGUGUAGCGGUGAAAUGCGUAGAUAUUACUAAGAACACCAAUGGCGAAGGCAGCUUACUGGCCAUAUCCUGACACUGAGAAACGAAAGCGUGGGGAGCGAACAG
rnacentral:rRNA from 1 species